rnacentral:rRNA from 1 species
UACAGAGGUCCCAAGCGUUGUUCGGAUUCACUGGGCGUAAAGGGUGCGUAGGCGGUCGGGUAAGUCUGAUGUGAAAUCUCACAGCUUAACUGUGAAACUGCAUUGGAUACUAUCCGGCUAGAGGAAUGGAGGGGAGACUGGAAUACUUGGUGUAGCAGUGAAAUGCGUAGAUAUCAAGUGGAACACCAGUGGCGAAGGCGAGUCUCUGGACCAUUACUGACGCUGAGGCACGAAAGCUAGGGGAGCAAACAGG